AGAGUUUGAUCCUGGCUCAGGAUGAACGCUGGCGGCGUGCUUAACACAUGCAAGUCGAACGGGGAUUAUUUUAACAGAGACUUCGGUUGAAGUUGCUAUAAUCCUAGUGGCGGACGGGUGAGUAACGCGUGGGUAACCUGCCUUGUACUGGGGGAUAACAGCCAGAAAUGGCUGCUAAUACCGCAUAAGCGCACAGAGCUGCUUGGCUCAGUGCGAAAAACUCCGGUGGUAUAAGAUGGACCCGCGUUGGAUUAGCUAGUUGGCAGGGCAGCGGCCUACCAAGGCGACGAUCCAUAGCCGGCCUGAGAGGGUGAACGGCCACAUUGUGACUGAGACACGGCCCAGACUCCUACGGGAGGCAGCAGUGGGGAAUAUUGCACAAUGGGGGAAACCCUGAUGCAGCGACGCCGCGUGAAGGAAGAAGUAUCUCGGUAUGUAAACUCCUAUCAGCAGGGAAGAUAAUGACGGUACCUGACUAAGAAGCCCCGGCUAACUACGUGCCAGCAGCCGCGGUAAUACGUAGGGGGCAAGCGUUAUCCGGAUUUACUGGGUGUAAAGGGAGCGUAGACGGCUAAGCAAGUCUGAUGUGAAAGGCUGGGGCUCAACCCCGGGACUGCAUUGGAAACUGUUUGGCUUGAGUGCCGGAGGGGUAAGCGGAAUUCCUAGUGUAGCGGUGAAAUGCGUAGAUAUUAGGAGGAACACCAGUGGCGAAGGCGGCUUACUGGACGGUAACUGACGUUGAGGCUCGAAAGCGUGGGGAGCAAACAGGAUUAGGUACCCUGGUAGUCCAUGCCGUAAACGAUGAUUACUAGGGUGUUGGAGGAUUGACCCCUUCAGUGCCGCAGUUAACACAAUAAGUAAUCCACCUGGGGAGUACGACCGCAAGGUUGAAACUCAAAGGAAUUGACGGGGGCCCGCACAAGUAGUGGAGUAUGUGGUUUAAUUCGAAGCAACGCGAAGAACCUUACCAGGUCUUGACAUCCGAUGCAUAGUGCAGAGAUGCAUGAAGUCCUACGGGACAUCGAGACAGGUGGUGCAUGGUUGUCGUCAGCUCGUGUCGUGAGAUGUUGGGUUAAGUCCCGCAACGAGCGCAACCCUUAUUGCCAGUUACUACGCAAGAGGACUCUGGCGAGACUGCCGUUGACAAAACGGAGGAAGGUGGGGAUGACGUCAAAUCAUCAUGCCCUUUAUGACCUGGGCUACACACGUACUACAAUGGCGUUUAACAAAGAGAAGCAAGACCGCGAGGUGGAGCAAAACUCAGAAACAACGUCUCAGUUCAGAUUGCAGGCUGCAACUCGCCUGCAUGAAGUCGGAAUUGCUAGUAAUCGCGGAUCAGCAUGCCGCGGUGAAUACAUUCCCGGGCCUUGCACACACCGCCCGUCA
rnacentral:rRNA from 1 species